UACGAAGGGGGCUAGCGUUGUUCGGAAUCACUGGGCGUAAAGGGCGCGUAGGCGGCCGAUCAAGUCGGGGGUGAAAGCCUGUGGCUCAACUCCAGAACUGCCUUUGAUACUGAGAAUCUUGAGUAUGGGAGAGGUGAGUGGAACUGCGAGUGUAGAGGUGAAAUUCGUAGAUAUUCGCAAGAACACCAGUGGCGAAGGCGGCUCACUGGCCCAUUACUGACGCUGAGGCACGAAAGCGUGGGGAGCAAACAGG
rnacentral:rRNA from 1 species